AUGUGUGUGCCCUUGCAGUCCCUGGAUGCUCUCUCCAUAAGUAAGACCGGUGAGCUUCUUCUUGCAUACCCCUCUACCUCCAGCACCACCGCAGGCAGCGGUAGACGCAGGGUGGGAGCGCCACCACGUACAAGGGCAGAGGAAAGCGACCAUCGACGCGAGACGCAGGACAUAUCCAAGAUGAGUGAUCUAUGUGAAUGCUGCCAGAUCAAGCUUAAGUUUCUAAGGCAAAUCAAUGGCGACUUCAUGCACGGCCUGGUCAUACCGGAGUGGUUUGUGAACCAAUUUGAAGGAAAGGUCUGGAUAACCGUCAAACUAGAGUCCCCUAAUGGUAACGUCUAUGAUGUUGGAGUUACCGAGAAUAUGAACCGAACAAUUUUGAAGUCUGGAUGGGCAUCAUUCGUUGAUGCCAAUAAAAUAGAAGAAAAUUAUUCAUUGAUGUUUCGUUACCUUGGAAACGCCCGCUUCAAGGUUACAAUAUUCGAUUCCAGUGGUAAGCAGAAAGCGUCGUGCUGUGCAAGGAUGGGAACUGCUUCCGAUGUUAGAAAGCCAAGCACAUUUGAUGUUGAUAAUUCUAGUAGUUCUCUUGGUGGGACUACUCGGUCUUCACCAAGCGAAAGAUCAGACUCUGAUGAAAGCCAAAAGGAAAGCUCGUACGGUUAUAAAAAAUCAGCAAAGAAGGCUGCAAUAUCAGAUUCUUCUGAGGAAUUAUCAGCUGAAGACAGUCUAUCUAGAGACAAUUUGGUGGAGUCAUAUGAUGUACGGGUGCAUUUGAAUGAUUAUGUCUUAUCAGGGAAAUGUGAUCUUACAGUAGCACAGGAGGCAAAAAUACAAGCACUUGUAGAGAAAAUUCGAUCUGAAAUCCCGGUGCUUGUUGUACAGAUGAAGAAGACCAGUGCAAACUUUGGUAAUCUGAUAAUACGUAAGGAGUACGCACUCAAAUACUUCCCAUGUGAAGCUACAAAUAUCAUACUUCAGCUACCUAGGAAGAACAAGGAAUGGAAGUGCAGAUUUAAUCCAGGUCGGCGCAACCUUUAUUUGGGCUACUUUGUCCAUGACAACUGUGUUCAAGAGGGAGAUAUCUGCCUCUUUCAGCCAAUAGCAAAGGUUAAGGAAGGAAGAUUUACCAUAAUUGUCCAUCUUCUUCACAAAGAGAGCGUUCGUCGUUCCCCUGGUGGAACAGCAGGGAUGACACACAUGGCUACCGACAGAAGAACAAGCGCAAAUACGUCCUUAACAGCCCGUGUUAAGGAGGAACCAGCCACCGAUGAUAUAUCAUCAUUGGGGCCUGAAGAGGAUGUAGACAAUUCUGAGGGAGCUUCUGAGACCCUCUUCGUACUGCCAGAAAGAGCCUCUAUAACGCCAGCACAGGAGCAAAAAGUGCGGGAGAAAGUAGAAACCAUUGAGUCGACAUUACCAGUUUACGUCGCGAUCCUGAACAAGUGCAAUGUUUCUCGCAAAUACGGCAUCAUGAUAACCAUGGGCAAGCAGUACGCGUCAAGGUAUCUCGAAAAACAGUACUUCACCGGGCAUCGUGGAAAGAAAAAUGUGAUCAGUCUGGUGCUUCAACGGGAGGGGAAGAGUAGGACGUGGGACACGGAGCUGCGACGCGCGAGUGAUCGCAUGAGGAUCUGUAAAGGAUGGGUGGCUUUCGUCCGUGGCAACCGCCUGCGGGUGGGUGACAUCUGCCUCUUCAAGUUGAUGGAGAGCGAGCUGCUGAAGAUGAUUGUUUACAUCAUUCGCCGUGAGAAGUGCUUAGAUUGA
rnacentral:rRNA from 1 species